rnacentral:rRNA from 1 species
CACGUAGGGUGCGAGCGUUGUCCGGAAUUAUUGGGCGUAAAGAGCUCGUAGGCGGUGUGUCGCGUCGGCCGUGAAAACCUGCAGCUUAACUGUGGGCUUGCGGUCGAUACGGGCAUCACUGGAGUUCGGCAGGGGAGACUGGAAUUCCUGGUGUAGCGGUGAAAUGCGCAGAUAUCAGGAGGAACACCGGUGGCGAAGGCGGGUCUCUGGGCAACAACGUGACGCUGAGGAGCGAAAGCGUGGGGAGCGAACAGG